UACGUAGGGGGCAAGCGUUGUCCGGAAUCACUGGGCGUAAAGGGCGCGUAGGCGGCUUUUCACGCGUGCGGUGAAAGCUCGGGGCUUAACUCCGAGUCUGCCGUGCGAACGGGGAGGCUUGAGUCUGGUAGAGGUCGAUGAAAUUCCGGGUGUAGCGGUGGAAUGCGUAGAGAUCCGGAGGAACACCGGUGGUGUAGACGCUUUCUGGACCGUAACUGACGCUGAGACACGAAAGCCGGGGGAGCAAACAGG
rnacentral:rRNA from 1 species